rnacentral:rRNA from 1 species
GCCUGGCCCUAAAUCUUGAUGCUCGAUAUUACCUGAGCAUCCGCCCGAGAACUACGAGCACAAACGCUUAAAACUCUAAGGACUUGGCGGUGCUCCAAACCCACCUAGAGGAGCCUGUUCUGUAAUCGAUGAUCCACGAUAUUACCUGACCAUUCCUUGCACGAAACAGCCUAUAUACCGCCGUCGCCAGCCCACCUUUCCUGACAGCCCAACAGUGGACGCAAUAGCCUAACCCGCUAGCAAGACAGGUCAAGGUAUAGCCCACGGAAUGGAAGCAAUGGGCUACAUUUUCUARACUARAACAUACGGAUAAGGGUAUGAAACUGCCCUUGGAAGGCGGAUUUAGCAGUAAARAGAGACAAUUGAGCCCUCUUUAAGCCGGCUCUGGAGCACGU